UACGGAGGGUGCAAGCGUUAUCCGGAUUUAUUGGGUUUAAAGGGUCCGCAGGCGGACUUGUAAGUCAGUGGUGAAAGCCUUCAGCUUAACUGGAGAAUUGCCAUUGAUACUGCUAGUCUUGAGUUCGGUUGAAGUGGGCGGAAUAUGUAGUGUAGCGGUGAAAUGCAUAGAUAUUACAUAGAACACCUAUUGCGAAGGCAGCUCACUAAGCCGAUACUGACGCUCAGGGACGAAAGCGUGGGGAGCGAAC
rnacentral:rRNA from 1 species